rnacentral:rRNA from 1 species
GAUGAACGCUAGCUACAGGCUUAACACAUGCAAGUCGAGGGGUAACGAGAGGAAAGCUUGCUUUCCUUGUCGACGACCGGCGCACGGGUGAGUAACGCGUAUCCAGCCUGCCCCCAACUAGGGAAUAACCUUGCGAAAGUAAGACUAAUACCCUAUAAUUUCCUCAGAUGACAUCUGACGAGGAAUAAAGAUUUAUCGGUUGUGGAUGGGGAUGCGUCUGAUUAGCUUGUUGGCGGGGUAACGGCCCACCAAGUGAACGAUCAGUAGGGGUUCUGAGAGGAAGGUCCCCCACAGUGUGACUGAGACACGGUCCAAACUCAUACGGGAGGGAGCAGUGAAGAAUAUUGGUCAAUGGGCGGAAGCCUGAACCAGCCAAGUAGCGUGCAGGAUGACGGCCCUAUGGGUUGUAAACUGCUUUUAUACAGGAAUAAAGUUAGCCACGUGUGGUUAUUUGUAGGUACUGCAUGAAUAAGGACCGGCUAAUUCCGUGCCAGCCGCCGCCGCAG